rnacentral:lncRNA from 1 species
AAUGGGAGGGUGAGGAAGUUGUUCAGUGGUAUUUGACCAUCUCCAGUCAGACGUUCUCAGAUGCUUAUGAAAACAGUAACACCACUGAAUAUAAAGAACUGGCUUCAAAGGUCUCAAAGCAGGUGAGGUGGUCAUGUUUCCUGGUAAUGUUUUCAGUUAUUUUUUUUAUUUACUUUAUGUCUGCUUAAAACUUUGCAUCAUUGGACAUUGUCUUUUCAGCUCAAAGGUAUAUACGGUCAAGUGCGCUUGUUGUCAAAGAACCAUGUGGGAUCCAAUGUGCAAGGUUUCAGUGAGGGCAGUAACAAUGGUAUCAUCGCUUAUUACCUGUCUGAGUUUAAUGUGCCAGAGUCCCAAGUAUCUGCUGUGGACGAGGCCAUGGCAUCCCUGGAUGGGGUGGGAAAUGCAAGGAAAAGCCAGAGGGGCUUUGGUCGCAGGACAGACAGUAGCCUCACCUUUGACGGCAUGACGUCAGGGGGUAAAUCUACUGGAAGAGAGUUUCAUAUUACUUGCAUAGUUUCAGUCUGUCACCUCUUGUAAUCUAACCAGAAAUGCAAAACUUCAUUUUAGUCUAGCACUAUUCAGUCUGAUUGUUAACAGUCAAAAUUCAUAUAUUUUGGUGUAUUACAGCUGUGGAUGCUCGGUUAGCUAGCAGAAACCUCAAACGUGAGUAAA